UUUAAAAUUAGGCAGGUCCAGGUCAAAAGUCCGACUCUGCAAUUUGUCAGUUUUGAGCUCAGUUAUUCUCUUAGCCCUGUGUUCCUGAUCUGAACCAUAAUAUAUCUGUAGUGGCAGUAAUGCUAUAUAUCUCUCAGGGGUGUUUUGAAGAUUAAACGAGACAGUGUAUGGAAAGUAAAUGGGUAGGCUCUGGGUGAAAGAUCUGUACAUGUUUAUUAAGUAAGGGUAUAAAUGACAAAUUGUCCUAAACUUGAAGGAGAUAGUCCUGUUGAUAUAUACUUACAUGUUCACUGGAUGAUAACAGAGUAUAUUACUCAAGAUGUAAUACGGAAAAUCUCCAACCUGUGUUCUCUAUUUAAAAUACAGUCUUUUUUCUUUCUCCUAGAGCAUCUGCCUUCCUUUUUUGAAUUUUAGAGCUUACAUUCUUAGUGAGGAUUUCCUAGACAUCUCUCUCUGCUGGGACAUAGUCAAAGCCUGAAAACAAAAGAAGAAAUCUCUGGAGAGAAAAGGAGCUGUCGAGCCUGCUGCCUGAGGGAAACCUUGCCUUUUUCUUGACAUGUUAUGGUUAACAAUGCCUGUGAGUCUCAUUUCAUAUUGUGAGUCUCCUGAGCAGUAGCAGUUUCUCCCAAUGUUUCAGGAUUUAAAUUGGGCUGUCUGUACCACAUGGUUUAUAGAUGAGUCCGUGGUUUAUAACACAAAGGCAUAAUUGGAAACAGAACAAUUUGAAUCUUAUUGGUUGGCUUUUUGCCCAGGCUCUGAUAGUGUUGAGAAUGAAGGGAGGUAGCAAAAUCUCACUGGAAAUAGAGGCUGCACAUUCAUUUAUUCGUUCAACAAACACCAUCUGGCCAAGAGCAGGUUACCAAACUAUUACUCUCAAUACAGCUUGUGGCUUCAAGGGCUUUAGAAGACAGAUUUCCUUU
rnacentral:lncRNA from 10 species